rnacentral:rRNA from 1 species
GAACCUUACCAAGGUUUGACAUGCAGGGAAAAGCCUCAGAGAUGGGGUGUCCGUAAGGGUCCUGCACAGGUGGUGCAUGGCUGUCGUCAGCUCGUGUCGUGAGAUGUUGGGUUAAGUCCCGCAACGAGCGCAACCCUCGUUCUAUGUUGCCAGCGGAUAAUGCCGGGGACUCAUAGGAGACUGCCGGGGUCAACUCGGAGGAAGGUGGGGAUGACGUCAAGUCAUCAUGCCCCUUAUGUCUUGGGCUGCAAACAUGCUACAAUGGCCGGUACAGAGGGCUGCGAAACCGCAAGGUUGAGCGAAUCUCAAAAAGCCGGUCUCAGUUCGGAUUGGGGUCUGCAACUCGACCCCAUGAAGUCGGAGUCGCUAGUAAUCGCAGAUCAGCAACGCUGCGGUGAAUACGUUCCCGGGCCUUGUCACACCGA